rnacentral:pre_miRNA from 10 species
CUCUUUACCCGAUGUGCAUCUUAUGGCUUUCUAUUCCUAUGUGAGUUGUGCUCUUGAGGAUCACGUAGGGUUCAAAGCCAUUGGAUGC